CCCCAUAAGUUACAUCAGAGGGCUUGGUGAUUGAUACCCGAAACCCAAAUUCGAAUCCUACUCGAUUCACAUUUUUAGCUAAGUUUAUUUCUAAACGAAAUAAACGAAGCGGCUAGCGUGCUACCUGUCUCUCUCUCUCUCAAAAAAAAAAGACAUACAAUAAAAGAGCACUGCAAUUUGUACCACCCAAAAGGAGUAUAUAUCUUAUAAAAAUAUUUAAAAUAUAACAGUCGCAUGAGUUAUGCAGUUUUUCAACCAAUCGAAUUGCUUUCCUGUGAUUCAUCCAUCUCUAGAAAGACAUUUUUGUUAUAUUUUUCUCUCAGAAAAAAAAAAUAUGAUUAGCUGGACAUAGUUAAUGUAGUGUAGCUGUUAUAUAGUAGACUUCCUUGUAUCUUACGGUCACUCAUUCAAGGGUCGAUAAUUA
rnacentral:lncRNA from 1 species